GACGAACGCUGGCGGCGUGCUUAACACAUGCAAGUCGAACGGAAAGGCCCUGCUUUUGUGGGGUGCUCGAGUGGCGAACGGGUGAGUAACACGUGAGUAACCUGCCCUUGACUUUGGGAUAACUUCAGGAAACUGGGGCUAAUACCGGAUAGGAGCUCCUGCUGCAUGGUGGGGGUUGGAAAGUUUCGGCGGUUGGGGAUGGACUCGCGGCUUAUCAGCUUGUUGGUGGGGUAGUGGCUUACCAAGGCUUUGACGGGUAGCCGGCCUGAGAGGGUGACCGGCCACAUUGGGACUGAGAUACGGCCCAGACUCCUACGGGAGGCAGCAGUGGGGAAUAUUGCACAAUGGGCGGAAGCCUGAUGCAGCAACGCCGCGUGCGGGAUGACGGCCUUCGGGUUGUAAACCGCUUUCGCCUGUGACGAAGCGUGAGUGACGGUAAUGGGUAAAGAAGCACCGGCUAACUACGUGCCAGCAGCCGCGGUGAUACGUAGGGUGCGAGCGUUGUCCGGAUUUAUUGGGCGUAAAGGGCUCGUAGGUGGUUGAUCGCGUCGGAAGUGUAAUCUUGGGGCUUAACCCUGAGCGUGCUUUCGAUACGGGUUGACUUGAGGAAGGUAGGGGAGAAUGGAAUUCCUGGUGGAGCGGUGGAAUGCGCAGAUAUCAGGAGGAACACCAGUGGCGAAGGCGGUUUCUCUGGGCCUUUCCUGACGCUGAGGAGCGAAAGCGUGGGGAGCGAACAGGCUUAGAUACCCUGGUAGUCCACGCUGUAAACGGUGGGUACUAGGUGUGGGGUCCAUUCCACGGGUUCCGUGCCGUAGCUAACGCUUUAAGUACCCCGCCUGGGGAGUACGGCCGCAAGGCUAAAACUCAAAGGAAUUGACGGGGCCCCGCACAAGCGGCGGAGCAUGCGGAUUAAUUCGAUGCAACGCGUAGAACCUUACCUGGGUUUGACAUGGAUCGGGAGUGCUCAGAGAUGGGUGUGCCUCUUUUGGGGUCGGUUCACAGGUGGUGCAUGGCUGUCGUCAGCUCGUGUCGUGAGAUGUUGGGUUAAGUCCCGCAACGAGCGCAACCCUUGUUCACUGUUGCCAGCACGUUAUGGUGGGGACUCAGUGGAGACCGCCGGGGUCAACUCGGAGGAAGGUGGGGAUGACGUCAAGUCAUCAUGCCCCUUAUGUCCAGGGCUUCACGCAUGCUACAAUGGCUGGUACAGAGAGUGGCGAGCCUGUGAGGGUGAGCGAAUCUCGGAAAGCCGGUCUCAGUUCGGAUUGGGGUCUGCAACUCGACCUCAUGAAGUCGGAGUCGCUAGUAAUCGCAGAUCAGCAACGCUGCGGUGAAUACGUUCCCGGGGCU
rnacentral:rRNA from 1 species